rnacentral:rRNA from 1 species
CCUACGGGCGGCAGCAGUGGGGAAUAUUGCACAAUGGGGGAAACCCUGAUGCAGCGACGCCGCGUGAGUGAAGAAGCAUUUCGGCACGUAAAGCUCUAUCAGCAGGGAAGAAAAUGACGGUACCUGACUAAGAAGCCCCGGCUAACUACGUGCCAGCAGCCGCGGUAAUACGUAGGGGGCAAGCGUUAUCCGGAUUUACUGGGUGUAAAGGGGGCGUAGACGGCGCGGAAAGUCUGAAGUGAAAGGCAGGGGCCUAACCCCUGAACUGCUUUGGAAACUGCGAUGCUAGAGUGCUGGAGAGGGAGGGGGAAUUCCUGGUGUAGCGGUGAAAUGCGUAGAUAUCAGGAGGAAAACCGGUGGCGAAGGCGGCUUGCUGGACAGUAACUGACGUUGAGGCUCGAAAGCGUGGGGAGCAAACAGGAUUAGAUACCCCGGUAGUC